rfam:Cryptosporangium arvum DSM 44712 genomic scaffold CryarDRAFT_CAH.1, whole genome shotgun sequence.
CGAGUCCCGUGACGUGAGGUCUCCAGCCGCUUGGCGAUACUCCUGGCGCACCUUCCCCGGCGCCAGGCCACGCGAAGCGGAUGGGGACCUGGCGACACGGUGAGCGACCC